GACGAACGCUGGCGGCGUGCUUAACACAUGCAAGUCGAACGGUAAGGCCCUUCGGGGUACACGAGUGGCGAACGGGUGAGUAACACGUGGGCAAUCUGCCCCUUUGAUCGGGACAACCCGGGGAAACCCGGGCUAGUACCGAAUGAGGUGGCGACUCAUGAGAGUCGUCACGAAAGGAAGCUUCGGCCUCCGCGAAGGGAUGAGCCCGCGGCCCAUUAGCUUGUUGGUGGGGUAAUGGCCUACCAAGGCAACGAUGGGUAGCUGGUCUGAGAGGACGAUCAGCCACACUGGGACUGAGACACGGCCCAGACUCCGACGGGAGGCUGCAGUUGGGAAUCUUGCGCAAUGGGCGACAGCUUGACGCAGCAUCGCCGCGUGAGGGAAGAAGGCUUUCGGGUCGUAAACCUCUUUCAGUUAGGACGAAGCUUUAUUGGUUAAUAACCAAUUGGAGUGACGGUACUUUCAGAAGAAGCCCCGGCUAACUUCGUGCCAGCCGCCGCAGUAA
rnacentral:rRNA from 1 species